rnacentral:rRNA from 1 species
UACAGGAGGGUGCGAGCGUUGUCCGGAAUCACUGGGCGUAAAGGGCGCGUAGGUGGCGGCCCAAGUCCGUGGUGAAAGCUCGCCGCUUAACGGCGAGUCGGCCACGGAGACUGGGUGGCUCGAGCACUGUAGGGGCAGAUGGAAUUCCGGGUGUAGCGGUGGAAUGCGUAGAGAUCCGGAAGAACGACCAGUGGCGAAGGCGGAUCUGCUGGGCGAGUUGCUGACACUGAGGCGCGACAGCGUGGGGGAGCAAACAGG